AGAGGAAGCUGAGAGAGAAGGAGGUGGGUCGGGGGAAGGCAGGUGGAGUUGGAGGCUCUGAGCCUGCCCCCCUCCCCCGCCCUUUCCUAGAGUUUCUGUUCUGGGUCCUGGGAGUCUAAAAGCCCCAGGGCAUCAGUCUUGCCAGGGUGCUCUCAUUUGCCCUCAGAGGAGGGAGCGGAGGCAGACUUGCACAGCUGAGCAGCCUCCCUGAAGAGGGAGGCAUGUUUCUCUGAGGCCUUGUGGGCAAAGGAUGGAGGAGAGAAAGCUGAGCUCAAUUAGGAAGGAUGCUAUUCAAAGACGCUCCCCACCUCUGCAUGGAUGGAUGGGAUGGGUGUGUACAUGCGGUGAGUGGAGCUGUGGGCCCAGCAAGCCUCUGCCCGGAGGGGCUGGCUCUCCGGUGAGCACCGAAGGCAGUGAUUCAUCCAGGGAUCAUCAGAGAGAGCCUGCUGGCGAAGGUGGCAUUGUUCUUCCCAAGCUUUGAUGGGGUUACACAAGCUCGUGCCGAUUUGUGGGUAGAAGCCUUCUCACUUUUCCCUUGCCACUUGUCGCCAAAAGGUGCUUGGAUGUGACUCUGGGAACUGCUACCGUCAUCAUACUGCAAGUCUCAAGGGCAAAGCCCUUCCUGAGGAGGGCAGAGCGUAGACAGUAGGGAUCCAGGACCGCUGCCCUUGUGGAGUCUCUCCUUCAGCCAAGCUGGAGCGAGCCCAGCCUCUGCAGUUAUGUUGUGUGAUCUCAUACAUUUCCCUGUGGUUGAAGACAGAAGGUGAGGUAAAGUCUCCUCACUGACACCAGGGUCUUCCACAUGCAGCACAUGUGAAUCGGCUGUCCUGUGUGUUCAGCACGUCUCCCUGUCACCUCCCUCAUGCAACCAACCCGACUCCUGCCCCUUCCCAACUGACUAUGCUGGAUCAUUUGCAAAGGUGAC